rnacentral:lncRNA from 1 species
UGUCUCCCAUUUUUUAUUAGUAAAAUACAAAUAUAGUUUAAUUAAUUCUUUAAUCCUAGCUAUAUUUUAGAUAUUAAUUAAACCAAUAAAUAUCAGUACUUGAGGUAUAAAACAUGAAUGUUGUUACUAGACUGAUACCUUUUGUGUUCUUUGGAUAAGAAGAGUUAACCCAAGUCUUCAUAUGUCCAAACAGAGUAAAUGAAGUUAAAGUUAAAACUAGAUAUUGUUUUAUCUAAAUUAUACUAAAUAAAGAGAAUAUAUAUGUAUUUACACAGAAUGAAAAAAACUCAAAUUAUUCAAACAUUAGUUUUGAAUCAAAUAGGGGUACAGGGUAAAAAAAGAGUUAUAAUGAAAAGGCACGAUCAAAUGAAAGAAUAUAAUAUUUUCAUUUGCAACUUCAUUAAAAGCAAUACAAGUAUUAUUUUAUCACUUAGCCUAUCCAUUACAGUAAUUGACUCAAGAUCUGGAUCUGGGGAUGUGGCCCGAUGGGACAGUACUUAGCUAACGUGUCCAAUGCCUUGGGUUCAAUGCCCAGCGUUGAAAAUAAACAGAACCUAAUUCAUGAUUGAUGGAAAAAGCAAAUGUAAUAAGACUAGAAAACUAAACCUGAAGACGGUGGGCUCAAGUUACACAAUGCUUCUUAGAGAACCUGACUGCAGGGGCAAGAGAAAGGGGCCUAAGGAGCUGGCUCAGUAGACAGCACCCGCCAUGCAGGAGGAGGACGGACUUGAACCUCAGAACUUACAUAUGAAGCUGGGCAUGGCCAUGCACACUCAUAACCCCAAGGCUGGGUGCAGGGCGGAGCCAGGUGAAUCCCUGGGGUUUUCCAGCUUACUGAGCACUGUGUUUCAAGUUCAGUGAGAGAUCCUGUCUCAAAAAAUAAAUAAAUAAAAGUGGAGUGACAGGAAAGACGUGUGACAUCACAUUUAUACACCUCGGAAUAGAAAUGACACAGAGGUGGGAACUCCGACCUGCCUGGCGCCUGGCAGCUUUUGGGACCCUCGGCAUUUGGCCACUGAACUGGAGCAGCGCACGGCAGGUACCCCAGUAAGUAGCAGCCCCUGGUGUAACGACACAGGCCUCAGGUGUCAGGGACUGUGUUAGUGGUUUUUCUCAUUGCUGUGACAAAAUAAUAAAAUAAGGGCUUUACUUUGGCUCCAGCUUCAGAGUGCAUCAGUAAUAGCGGCAGGACCCGGGGAGGCUGUUCACAGUACAGUCAGUCAGGGUCCAGGAAUGCUGGUCCUCAGCUUUCUUCCUUCGUGUUCUAGCCCAGACGAUCGUGCCACGUGUUGGCUGGGCCUUCCCACCUCAGUUCUCCUCGUCUAGAAACGCCUUCAUAGACCGGUCUGCCUGCGGGUGUGUCUCCCAGAUGACUUUAGAUCCAUGAUCGAUACCAAGCACGCAUAGCCGGUUUUAUCAUCUGCUUGCCUCAGAAUACAAUGACCUGUGCAGAGAAUUGCACACGACCGCCUCGACAGCCACUCCACAUGUGGCAUCUGCCAUGGGCCUAGAUCUCAAAGAGGGGGUGGCUGGCGUAGAGAGGAUCACCCACCUUUUGCUGGCGUGGCCGUCCCUCCUGACGUCAGCCUUCUUUAUCCCGUUGCCGUGAUCUCUUUGCUGCUCUCAGAUGCGAUUCUUUUCCAGGCUUCCAUCCCUAAGGAGCAGCUGUCUCCAGGACCUUUCCAUACUUGGAUCCAGACUGAGACUGCUAAAGCAGCCAGCCUCACAGACAGAGUGACCAACCAGUUCUCAGCCUCACAGGUAAAAUACUGAAACCUCCCAGGUUAGUAACAUUUCAAAGUAAGCUAACUUAGUAAUACACAGCCCAAAUUCCAUUUCUAAAUAAUACAAUAUAAGACAAAACAAAUACCAGGAAGAGAGCUGAAGAGAAGACACAAGACCAGCUUGGUCACCCCCAGGGAUCUCAUAAAAAACAGUAAACCAGAAGCCACGAUAUACACACAGAGGACCUGUAGGGUAAAAGUGAGAAAAAUAUAAAAUAAGAAGUAGAUACUAAGACAGACUUUUAGAAAGAGGGGGAGCUCUGACAGGACAUUAUAAGACAAGGAACCUUCAAACAGAGCACUGGGUUUGUGUCCUGUGGGUGUCCUGUGGCCAUGAAGCCUACCUAAGAGUAGUUGUUUCCCCAGUGAGCCUCUCCUUGGAGAAAACUAAACUUCAUUUGCAAGUGCUCAUCAAGUGGACACUGUGUCCAGGGACAGGGGAAGCUGCUCAUCAAGUGGACACUGUCUU